GUAAUAUAAAGGUUCGCUAACGACAAAAUGUUGCAGAAAACCUACCGUGCGUCAUCCGAACUUUCUUGGUGAAACCUUCUUUCCCAACUCGGAGACCUGGGUGUCAAGUGAGGGCAGUGGAAAAGUCGGCAAAGUUGGGCCCAAGUGUCACGGCAGAAAUUCAAUCCUGUUUGUACAGAACCCAAUACCAACAGAAUAAGUCGCCUCGUGGCAACAAUGGAAAUGAUGGAAUGGACUGUAAGCUGUCUUGACGAAAAUCAAACUGCUUAAAGAGCACGCCCCCAACCGCCAAUUAACAGCAAUGGUUCACUUUUGUGUGAUGAUUUUAAUCUGUCUAUGCGUGGAAUUCUGCCAGAAUCU